GACGUAGGGGGCGAGCGUUGUCCGGAUUCAUUGGGCGUAAAGAGCUCGUAGGCGGUUUGAUAAGUCGGGUGUGAAAUCUCCAGGCUCAACCUGGAGAGGUCACUCGAGACUGUUAUGACUAGAGUCCGGUAGGGGACCACGGAAUUCCUGGUGUAGCGGUGAAAUGCGCAGAUAUCAGGAGGAACACCAGUGGCGAAGGCGGUGGUCUGGGCCGGAACUGACGCUGAGGAGCGAAAGCGUGGGUAGCAAACAGG
rnacentral:rRNA from 1 species